rnacentral:lncRNA from 1 species
CAUUUAGACAUAUGGGAUAACCAUCAUUUCAUAUUUUUGUCAUGUAUCUUUCAUUUACUUGGAAAUUAAUAAGUAAUAACCAAUGGAUGUUUUUUAACAGCUGCAAGACUACCUGCUAAUAAUUACCGAGAAUUAACCAUCAUAUGUAUCAUUCAUUUUAUUAAUACCAAAUUACCAAAAAAGUGAGGGCAAUAGUUAGACACCAUAAACUGUAUAUGUUACUAUUAAUUGUUCAUCCUUAAUGUUUGAAGUGUUCCACAUGAUUUUUGCUGGUAGAAAGAUUCAAGCAUUUUGGUUUCGUUAGAAAUACAAAAUUUCUUUGUUCAGCCACCCUGCCCAUGGUGGCUUGCUUUACUAAAUUUAUAAUUGAACACUUGAAUAUAUAUUUUCAUCAGUAUGCCCCCUAUCCUAUUUUCUGUGGGUACACAUGAAUGUUUGAUCCAGAUUCUAGGUGCAUCCUUUACUACAACAAUCUCAGGCUAUACUGAAAAGUGUACUGCUUAUAUAGCGAAUAUCUUUAAUUCAUACGCUCGUCUGUUGGAUGCUAUGGUCGCUGGCUUGACGCUCGCUGCUACUGGACGCUCGCUGCUAUUAUUGGUUCAUAAGUUUUGCAGACCUGGUUACUGCAGAUUUUUUUGAGCGAAUGGUUAGUGUAGAGUUAGUUCUUAUGGUUAUUGAAACCAUGCAAAAUGUAGCUUUCCCCUUCCUCUCUGGUCACUUGAAUUUAAAUCUCCUGCAUGUUCAUUUAUGAACUCUGCACCAACACACGUGACCCAUGCAAAAAUUGUUCACUUUUAGAGUCUAGCUCAAAGAAAUUCACUUCUGGAGUGUAACUCAAAAAAGUUCAUGUUGAAGAUUUGUGUUGUUGCUGAAUUAGGGAUUUAAAUUCAAGUUUCCUCGGAUGUCUAUUGCUACUGAAUUAGGGGCUUAAAUUCAACUUUCCUCUGAUUAAUUUAUAUCUAUCUUUUGUACUCUACUGAACAUGUGUGUAUAGUUUCAGAAUUCCUUUUACCACUAAUACUUAUGGGUUGUUCUAGAGGCGAUUUUGCAUCACUCCAUUUUAUAGAUGUUCAUGCAUAAGUAGCAUCAGUUUUUUUCCUAAUGUUGGCUUUUCAUCUGCUAACUGGUGUGUGCCAUGCGGUACGUGCCCAACCUAUGUAUCUCAUUAUGUUAUGAUAACACAGAUGCUCUCCUCUGUAGGCGAAACGACUGGAGAAAGUAAGCAACUCCUUUUAGUGGUGUUCGAAGAUGGUAUUAAGCAUAGCUGGGCUCUGCCAUUCGUGAAAGUACUAUUUCUUUGUAGGCUUUUGAUUCACCACUAUUCUGUAUAAGUUCUAGGCUUUGUUUCCUGAAUAAGAUCAAGAAUUUUGCACUGAAAAUUCAUGCCCGCUGUUCAAAACUCAGUCUAUAUUUUGAAAGAAAUAUCCUUAUUACUUUUUUGCAUCACAAAGGGUUAUAUAUACUGUCAAGAUUCUAAAGUUGUUCUAUAUUGCUGUCGCAUGAGUAUAAAAGCAGCAAACAAUCGAUAUGGUGGUAUCUUGCGAUGGGAUAUACUUUCCAUUUCUGAACAAAUACCAAACACGACUGUACUUAAUUUCCCCUUUAGGAAACACGUUGUGUAUGAUGAGAUUAUGAAUACAACUCUUGUCAACAUGAAGAGGUGGCAGAUAGGUAGGUCUACAUGCAUGUGGUUAGAGAAACGCCUCGAAAAAGAUCAGGGUAUAUCCUAGACUAACAACUAUGCUAGGAUGGUACAUGAGACAGUGGGAUGCACCUGAAUUAUACCAUUCCAGUAAUUACUAUGUAUUUCCACCCUUUUGUUUCUAGCUGAUACAUAAUGUUUGGUACACGAAUCAAUCAUGCUUCUUUGUCCGAUGUUAUCUCUAAAAGACCUGUGUGCACUGCAGCUCGCUCAAUUAUGUUUGUCUAAAUACUUUCCUUUUUUGUACCAAUAUCAUGUUAACUGAAAACUUGCAGUGUUUAUUCCAAUGAUUUUUGGGUGUAAUUUCCACUAAGGUUUAUUAUCAACAGAUCAGAUAUAGGUUGGUUAAUUUGAAAAUAGCUAUAUAUAGUGAAAGGCCUUAAAUGAGCAACCUAUAUUUUAUUGGCCAGUUCUAUCUAAGAAUAUGCUCAUCUGUAAUAGCUGGAAGGGUGAUGUAAAAAAACCAGUGUUUCUAUAGCGCUAACUUUACUACAUGCAUUACUUAAAAAACUGUACUACAUGCAUUAAUCAAAAUUAUUGUUCAUUAUGCUAAUUAUGCAACUUUGUCUUCCAUUUAUAUUUUCAAUUUGUACUUCUCGUCCCACGUAAUAUAUUGCCUUUUUUAUUUCUGACUGCAUGGUCUGACUGUUGAAUUUCUUAAAGUAUAUUACCUUCUUGUUUUUGGAAGAAUAGAUUGAUGUUUUGUACCUAAGGUCUAACAAGGCCUGUUGGUUGGUCGGUGUACUGAUUUUGAUAGCAAUAUUGAACAACAUCAGAAUAUAUUUUGACACAUUUUUAUGCUUCGAUGUUCCUUUGUCACUGUUCGACUUUCUGCCUUGGCCUCUGUAUUGGUUUACAGCUCCAUAUGGCUACCUAUGUAGGUUCUGUUUUGAACUGUACUCAAAUCACAUAGAGCUGUUAAACUUCCAGUUUGUUGCCUUCCUGUCAUGUAACAUCGCCAUGUUUACUCCAGAAACAUGGAAUGUGCAAAGCUUCUGUGUUGAUUAGUGAAAUACUUGCUUUGCCUUAAAGACUGUUCCCAUAUGUGUCCUAGGUUUUUUGGUAUGAAUUUCAUAUUUCCCUGGAAUGAUCAACACAUUUCCAUGGGAUUUUAGAAAAAUAUAUGUGAAUGCAACUUUCUAAUAAAAAGUGUUGCUUAUAAGGGCUUCUAUGAUCCACUGAUUGUAUGAAUUCUCUUUAAAUAUGUCAACAUACUUCAGUCUAUGUUAGUUUUAGGAUGGCAAUUGACAUUUUUUUCACGCUCUUUGUUAACAGUUUCGGUUCUCACAGGGUUUGAGAUGUGUAGAUUCCGUGCCACAAAUCAGUUGCAGGUGGGUAGGUAGCAUCCUUAUCUAUUUCAUAUGUUCGACUCCACUUUCAUUUUCCUAUGGUGUUUAGGCUCAGGGCUUUCCACCAUUUCAUCUAGAAAUGCAUCAUGCUUUGUAUCAAACUCAAGUAUAUAUAUGGUGUUGUUGGGGCUUCUUUGAUCAAAAUGUGAAAGAUUGCAGACGUGAUUUUGUUUAGACCAUUUGUCCGGGUAGUGACAUUUUGAUAUGCAAGGCAUGUGUUUAUUUGAUUUUAUUUCUUGCAUACACUAAAGUAACCAUGAUAAUCAGUAGCAGGAAGACAGUCAAAACAUUAUUUUCUUUGUCUUGGUAUUCCUGAUUUAGUUGUCAUUUUGUAUGUUUCAUGGAAAAUAUUCAAUUCCAUGUCAUCUUUCCAUUGCUAUUUUCCCUACCACACCUACACAUGGGUAGACAAUCUUAUCCAGAAUGGAAUUUUGGAUUGUGGAUUCUCUGGACUGAAUGGUUUAAGUUUUUGCCUAGAUUGAUGUCAUCCAUAUUUUACUUAUUUAUACAAUGCUAUGACUACGAUACAAUCAACUAUGACUUGGAAUACUUUUCCCAUAUAGUGUUGGACAAUAUUGUAGGCACCCACCCUCCAAAGCACAAUUGGGUGGUGUUAUUUGAUUAGAUUAACCAUCAACAAUCAUGUUUAUAGACUUCCUGGAGAAACAAACACAUGGGGAGCAUCAUCUAGUACAACACGACAAUGACCACACCAACGAGGUGCAUAUUGUUGUCAAGCACGAACUAACUUUUUCCCCUGGUCAGUUAUUGGAAGGACUAAAAUUGCGGGUCAAGAUGCAUUAACAUGAUAAGGAAUCACACUCAACUCUGAUAAGAAGGCCUACGAAGACAAUUUGAUAUAAUAACUUCAUUGUAUUCUGCUCUGAAGCAAAAACUCUUUAAUGUGGAGUCCAUGUUACAAUGUGUUGUAGUUUACUACCAUUUCUAAAACAGGCCAACCCUUUUAGCAGCCUGCAGCUUGCUUUUAUAUUUUGGAAUUGUUACUCGUUCAUAUAUAUAUUUAUAUUCAUGCUGCUCGGCCUUCCUGAUACUGGGAGCAAUGUAGUUAUUGGUAGAAGUAUGACCUCAGUGGUACAAGCAACGGAGAAAGAAGUUAUGUAUGAACAAAAAAUGAUGCAUAUAUGUAACAAUAUAAUUGAGUUCAUCAAAACCAAUUAAGAAUUAAUGUUUGUUUUUUGAAAAAAAAACAUUUGCACAUGUUCUUCAGUUAGUUGGAUUGUUAGUUUGCUGCUUCUCUUUGUGUUGAUUAUGAUCUUUUGAGCACAGAAUGUUAACAAAUUGUUGCAUCAUCAUGGCUAAGGUGUCAAUACCCCUAAGUAAGCUGCCUCUUAAGUUGAAGAGUAGCAUUGUGAGUGUCAGCUUUACACGCUUCAUGGAUUUGUUUUAAAUGGGACUCUGCGCUAUCAAAAUAAAAUGUGUAUAUACAUCUCAUUGUAGACACCAAUCCACCAAGUUUCAUAUUAAAAGGGAUUCAACCAUGGAUAUUUUUUUCAUCGCAUACAUGGAUUUAGCGUGCCUCUGCGCCAUUUGGCGCAAUGGGUCCACUAGUUUUUAUAAACAUCGAACAACUCCGCCACUUUAAAUUCAAC